AACGAACGCUGGCGGCAUGCCUAACACAUGCAAGUCGAACGAGACCUUCGGGUCUAGUGGCGCACGGGUGCGUAACGCGUGGGAACCUGCCCUUAGGUUCGGAAUAACUCCCCGAAAGGGGUGUUAAUACCGGAGAAUGUCUUCGGACCAAAGAUUUAUCGCCUUUGGAUGGGCCCGCGUUGGAUUAGCUAGUUGGUAGGGUAAAAGCCUACCAAGGGGACGUUCCAUAGCUGGUCUGGGAGGAUGAUCAUCCACACUGGGACUGAGACACGGCCCAGAAUCGUACGGGAGGGAGCAGUGGGGAAUAUUGGACAAGGGGCGAAGGCCUGAUCCAGCAAUGCUGCGGGAGUGAUGAAGGGCGUAGGGUUGUAAAGCUCUUUUAGCCGGGAUGAUAAUGACGGUACCGGGAGAAUAAGCACCGGCUAACUACGUG
rnacentral:rRNA from 1 species